AAAGCUGAGCAGCCUGCUGUUGCCGCCGCGGCCGCCACCAUCGCCCCUUGGCGCUCCCGGGGCUCCCGGGGCGCGCUAGCAGUACGCCGAGCGGGCUCCCGCGCCCGCCCGUCAGCCCGCGGGGCUGCUCCAACGCUCGGGUUUUGUUUACGAGAGCAGCCUGGGGGAUACGCAAUGCACGGGGAGCCAGAACCCAGGGCGCCGAGGGUUUGCAGCUGAGGCCCAGGGCUCAGGCCACAGGGAGGCUGCGGGGAGGCUGACAGGUGUGGAGCGGCGGGAGGGAGGCCCAGGGGAGGCGCGCGGGAGACGUGGACGAGCCGGGGAGGCUCAGGGGACCAAGGCGUCCCUGCCACAGCAGUUGGGUUUCCCCUGGUCACAGGAGUGAGGUGAGGAAAAGGCAGGCGCCAAGACUCCGCUUCUGGACAAUCCCCGGGGCCAGAGCUCCCAUAUUUGAAAAGGUUCUCUCAUCUCCCUUGGCAACGGAGUCCCAGGCUCUCAGACCUAGUGCUUAGAAAGUUCUACUCACCGUCUAACCUUAAUGAUCCUGGCUAACGUUUAUUGAGCACUUACUGUGUGCCGGGUGCUGUUCCAAAUUUACCACAUGGACUAAGACUCGUUUAAUUCCCUAAUAACCCUUUUAAUUAGCGACUGUUAUUAUCACUCCCGUUUAGCAGUGAGAAUGAUCAUGGAGAGGUUAUGGAAUUCCGCCGGGGUCCUAAUGCUGGUUUGACGGUGGAGGUGAGAUUCGAAUCCCUAUCUAGCUCCAGGGCCCUUUCUUUACGCAUCCGCAUCCCGCCCUAGCCGAGCGCCACCUGUGGCCCAUCCGAUACCGCUGCGAGAUCCUCUGCAGGUUUUCAACGUCUACAACAGUGCAUCGCGUCCCCGCCCCGUGCUGAGGGAUAAGGCAGGAGAAGGAGCUCUGAGAGGCUGGAGGAGCUGAGGGUGAGGUGAGGUAAGAAGCAGAAGAGAAAGAAAAGUUUCUGCCCUUGACGUGCAGUGAAAGGAUCGGAUCACUCCAGCGGCGGCUCUCCUAUUCUGGAUUCAGCGUGGUCAUUGAUCCCUUCCUAAUUUCCUCGUUUGAAACUGGAUAACAUUGUCUUUGCCUACCCGCGGGGCAGUAAAUAAUCUCGUGAGCUGUAAGGUGGCUCUUUCCACUGCAGUGGUGGUGGCCGGGAGACCGGUAGGAGUGGAGGAGGAAGGGGAAAGAGCCGGGACACCAGGCCGAUGUUCACCAGGAGAUGAGCCGUUAGGCAAAUCGGAUGCCGUCUCUGUUCCAAAAUCAUCAGGCCUCACUCCCCCAAUCCCUGCCCACCAGAAAUAUUUUAAGAACUUCUGCACGGCUGGAAAUGGGGAAAGCGGUACGUGAGAGACAUCUGCAGGAGCUCACAGAAGCCGUCACCGCAUAGUAGGGCAUUUACGUGCUGGCAGUUUGACAAUUUUCCCUGUGAGCGAUGAAGAAGGCGAUGAUCUCCACCGCUGUCAUGAACCGGCUGUGGCAGUGUUGUUAUGUGCUGAGAAGCAACAGUUCAAUUCCAUUCCGGAGAUGGUUUUACUUCACUAGUAACCAAGCAAUUUCUCUAAGUCCUGCCGAGUUGGUACAAUCAGUGGCCGACCAUCUUGGGAGCUAUUUGGAUUAAGCAUACUCUAUGGGGCAGCAUUUUGAUCACUACUCAAUUCAUUGCUGCCUCGUUUUGAGAAAGAGACAUCUUAAAAAUACUACCAGCAAGAAGUAUAAAUGGCCUUGAUGGCUACAGUUUCUCACCAUUCCACGGGACCAUAAGCCCCACUCUUGAAAGCACGCUGCUUUUUCUUCCCAUUUAAUUGGAUGCAGGCGCCCAUGGUGAAAGAAAUCAGAAUCUGUGCCUACUUUUUGGCAUGAAAAAUGCAGGAGACUAGGAAGCAUAUAAAUGUAUUCUUUGCUGAUCCUACCCCAUUUUGUACAAACAUGUUUGCCCCUUUCCAAUUUUCCUGUGUACUAAAGCUCCACCUUCAGGACACAAGUUCACAUUUGAAAAGUGUGGGAAAUACGAACAACAAAAAUAAAUAUUUAAGCAUGUGGAUUCUGUCUUUGAUGGCUUUCUCCUGGACGCUGGCGUCUGGCCAAGGGGGCAAGUCCCAUUGGCAACAAAGCUUUCCUCUCCAACUGAUGGAGCCCAUCCUGGUGGGCGUCACUCGUGGCACAUUCGGAACUCCUUGUAACACAACUGGCUGAAACCCAGAGAAAAAGAAGAUGGUGCAGAUUUAUCCUCCAGACAGAGGCCUGCUACCACGGAAACAGGCAGUUCAGACUGAUUCCGAGCAGUUUUAUUUGUAGCAUUCAGUAGAUGGGAAAGUCUUCAUAAUGAGAAAAUAUCAACUCCCUCAGGCAUCUAAGGCAAUCUGGGUUAACCAGACCAUCCACAAUCAGACUCAUUUCUGCUGGACAGGACUUUAUAGAUUCAGUGGUUUCCUGCUGAGGCUCAGGACAUUAAGAGCUGCUCGGUAGGCGAUUGGUCACAGUCACAAGAUGGCUAUCACUGGUGUUUUCAGUUUUCUUUCUGACUUAAAAAAAAUUAUCUGACAGUGAUCUGUAGGGAUGACUGGGCUGGCAGAGAUCAAAAGCAACUAAGAUACUAGUUCCAGUGGUCAACGAAUUCUCUGCCUUGUACAAGGAGCUACAACCCCUUGGCAGCAUUUGGGAAAUGCCCAGUGGGUCGAAUAGUACCAGUGUUGUCCUUCUAGGACUUAAAACAGGCCACUUCCUUCUCCACAGCUUUGCUCAAAUCUAUGUGGUCUUCCACAUCCAGGCCCUUAUCAAAGCUCCCAGCCCCUUUUGGUGACUGGCAGGAAAAAGAAAUGAGCCAGCCUCCUUUCCCCGUCUGCUGAUGAGUAGAUGUUGAAAGCAGAUAAGAUGAAGGGCCAUUUAAUAAGUUUGAAUUGACGCCGAGACGAGUUGAAUGCAACUCAAUCACCAUGAAAAGUCAGUCAAAUGCAGCACAGUUAAGGUGACUGAAGGAACACAAUGCUUGUCUUCUUGCCCACCCAACAUGGCCCCAGGCAAGUGUUGAGCAUUCUUAUGCUUGGCGACACUGGCCCAUGCCUUUGGUUAAAGUGAUGGAAUUCUGGUUGACCCCAAACAUUACUGUUGUCCUCUUUCCUGUGUCAUGGCUUAAUAGUUCAUGGUCAUUUACCAGCAGAGUUGCAACGGUAGAUGGGAGAAUGGGUUGGAGGUACAAAUAAACAAUUCUUUCCUCAA